UACAGAGGUCCCAAGCGUUGUCCGGAAUCAUUGGGCGUAAAGCGCGCGUAGGCGGCCCUGUAAGUCCGUUGUGAAAGUCAAAGGCUCAACCUUUGAAAGCCGAUGGAUACUGCAGGGCUAGAGUCCGGAAGAGGCGAGUGGAAUUCCUGGUGUAGCGGUGGAAUGCGCAGAUAUCAGGAGGAACACCAAUAGUGAAGGCAGCUCGCUGGGACGGUACUGACGCUAAGGCGCGAAAGCGUGGGGAGCGAACAGG
rnacentral:rRNA from 1 species